AAUCAACGCUGGCGGCGUGCCUCAGACAUGCAAGUCGAACGCGAAAGUCCCCUUCGGGGGACAAGUAGAGUGGCGCACGGGUGAGUAACACGUAGGUAAUCUACCUUUGGAUGGGGAAUAACAACCGGAAACGGUUGCUAAUACCGCAUAAUGCAGCGGCACCUAAUGGUGACAGUUGUUAAAGCGGGGGAUCGAAAGACCUCGCGUCUGAAGAGGAGCCUGCGGCGGAUUAGCUAGUGGUAAGGUAAUGGCUUACCAAGGCUACGAUCCGUAACCGGCCUGAGAGGGCGGUCGGUCACACUGACACUGACAUACGGGUCAGACUCCUACGGGAGGCAGCAGUCGGGAAUUUUGGGCAAUGGAGGCAACUCUGACCCAGCCAUGCCGCGUGGGUGACGAAGGUCUUCGGAUUGUAAAGCCCUUUCGGCGGAGACGAUGAUGACGGUAUCCGCAGAAGAAGCCCGGCUAACUUCGUGCCAGCAGCCGCAGU
rnacentral:rRNA from 1 species